CCUGCAACUGUCUCUGGUGGUGUUGGUGUUCUGCUGACAAUUGACAUUGCUUUCAGUACGUGCUUGACGGACUGAGUAAACACAAGAUGGCUAACACAUUCACAAUGAUCUUGGUGGUGGCCACCGUUGUCGUCUAUGCGCAUGCCCAGUGGGACACAUUCCCUUUAGGCCUCCACGCUUAUUGUUUGAAGAAAACACCUGAAGUAUACCAACCUUGCAGAAUGCGAACCAUUUGGACGUUCGACUGGUGCGCACUAAGGUGUGUCCAGCGAACUGGAUGUUUCGCACAGGGUGACCAAGAAAUCAACGCAUUUCCUUCGCAACAAGGUUGCUACAUGUGGUGCAGCAAUUCCUUCGAAGUGUAAUGAAAUACAGUAUAGAAUAAAUUUAUUA